GACGAACGCUGGCGGCGUGCUUAACACAUGCAAGUCGAACGGAAAGGCCCCUUUGGGGGUACUCGAGUGGCGAACGGGUGAGUAACACGUGAGUAACCUGCCCUUGACUUCGGGAUAACUUCAGGAAACUGGGCAUAAUACCGAAUAGGAAUCCUUGCUGCAUGGUGGGGGUUGGAAAGCUUCGGCGGUUUUGGAUGGCCUCGCGCCUUAUCAGCUUGUUGGUGGGGUAGUGGCUUACAAAGUCGUGGACGGGUAGCGGGCCUGAGAGGGCGACGGGCCACAUUGGGACUAAGAUACGGCCCAGACUACUACGGGAGGCAGCAGUGGGGAAGAUUGCACAAUGGGCGGGAGACUGAUGCAGCAACGCCGCGUGCGGGAUGACGGCCUUCGGGUUGAAAACCGUCUUCAGCAGGGGCGAAGCGUGUAGUGACGGUACCUGCAGAAGAAGCACCGGCUAACUACGUG
rnacentral:rRNA from 1 species